CUGAAUUGUCACAGUUAACUCUUUGAGUACACAGUAGAUGAAACAAAGAAAUUGCCGGGAUAUAUAGAUGAAGUGGUAUACCCAUUCUUCGUUCACAUAUAUGUUAAAUUGGGCAGCAACACAACUUUUUCUGAGCAAAAUAUCGAUAAACUGUUCUUCAAAUCAUUUCUGCGCACACCUAAUAUAUGAAAACGUCGGAAACUGUAUAAUAUGAAAACGUCGCGGAA